CAUUCACAUUUAUUUUUGUCCAUUUUUGGGCUUUCUGUUGAAUUACCAUUGUGCAGUGAAAGUCCAACCCAAGCGGCAAAGGCAGACUUCGCUGAGGUGAAAAUUGUGUGUACCAGAGACGUCUGCCACUCAUUUUUACAACCCCGUUUUUUAAAAAUAUUUAUUUAUUAUGUAUACAAUAUUCUGUCUGUGUAUAUGCCUGCAGGCCAAGAAGAAGACACCAGACCUCAUUAUAGAUGGUUGUAAGCCACUAUGUGGUUGCUGGGAAUUGAACUCAGGACCUUUGGAAAAGCAGGCAAUGCUCUUAACCACUGAGCCAUCUCUUCAGCCCCUAUAACCCCGUUUUGGCUCAAGAGUAGUCCUGGUGAACGCACUGUGACAGAGUUGAGUCCCACAUUUUGGCAUAGACUUUUAAAUGAGUUCUUGCAAUUUGAAGCCAGAUCCGUUAUCACCCCUGGGCAGCCUCCUACAAAAUCUUUGUAAAUUGGGACUGUCAGAUACAAUCUGUCCCAAAGGGCUAAUUUCUCUAUGCACUAAGAUUUGGCUUCAACAUGACCUUGACAAUGAGAUGUGAUGGCCACCAGAGGGAGCUCGUGAGCUUUCCAUCCUCCAGGACCUCGAAAAUUUUGUGGCCAUGAGGACAAAUGGACAGAACUCUCCUCAUAUGUCCACAGUUUCUGGGCACUGCGCCCUUGCCCCUCCCUCAGUAGCCAGUGUCUUACAGCAUCGGUUCUGGUCACCAGGGUAACGGCGCCUCCAGAUUGCUGAUCAUCUGAGAAUUGGUACCCAGAAAGCUCUGCCAUGACCAUGCAUCCAAAGACACUGGCCCCUCCCCAACUCCCUUGAACCCUAAUACCCAACUCCCUCCUGUGGAGCAGCAGUCUCCACAAUCCUCCCCUUACCCACCCCUACCUACUUCCUCCCUAGUCAAUCCAGAAGUUCAAGAUCAACUUUCUCCCUACCCACUUUCCUCCCCUCCCCUCUCUCCUAUCACAUCUCCCUAUCCCCCCAUGCCAUCAACCCACUUCUUGAACCCCUUUACACACUGGCCUAACCCCUCCCAAUUCUCCCCUGUCUCCUCUCACCAGAUCUCACUAUAACACUGCCCUUCUCUGCCCUCUCCAGAAGGUAGUGGGAGCCGAUGGCAUUAUUAAAGUCCUUGUUUCCUUUUCUCUUCCGGAUCUCUCUCAGGUAGAAAAGCAGUUGGGUUCCUUCUCUGCUAAUCCUUCUGUUUCUAUUAAGGAGUAUCACUAUCUGUCACAGGCCUCCAAUCUAACCUGGCAUGAUUUCUACGCCAUCCAGGCCUCUACUCUCUCUCGCUGAAGAGCAAAGUAGAAUUCAGACAGUGUGCAGACCAGACCCACCUAGUAGAUAGUACGGUCCCUGUGGGGGAAGUGGCAGUGCCAGCCACAGAACCAUACUGGGAUUAUCAACCUGGCCAAAACAGCCAACAGAGGCGGAACAUCAUGGUCCGAUGCCUCCUUCAGGGUAUGGAGAUGGUCUCAGAAAAAAGGGGUUAAUUUUGACAAGCAUUGAGAAAUCACAUAGCUAGGCGAUGAAAACCCAGCCAUUUUUAAAAACCAAUUAUAAGAGAUCAUGGUUCAAUAUACUAGACUGGACCCUCCCCAGUGGGAGCCACAGUCCUGGCUACCCAUUCCGUUUCUCAGUCAGCACCAGAUAUUAGAAAAACGUUUUUUUAAAAAAAAGGCUGAGGAGGGUCUCCAAACCACCAUACAGAAAUUGGUGAAAAUGGCCUUUAAAGUUUUUAAUGCCCAAGAAGAAGCAGCUGAGUCCUCCCGACAGAUGAGGCUGCAACAGGCAGCAACGCUCCAAGCCCUAGCAGCUACCCUGAGGCCACGGGACCCCCAGAAGGAGGACAAGGAAAGUUUGCCAGUAGGCUACUAUAUUGUGGUCUAAAUGGCCAUUUGGCACGAUAUUACCCUGGGCCUCUGCCUACAAGGCCAUGCCUUAUCUGCCAGCAACCUGGACACUAGAAAUCACAAUGGCCCCAUGGGGGCUCGUCCUCUAUGCUAUGCCAUGGAGGUUCAGCCUCACCAAUAUUGGUAAGUGAGACUGUGCCAGCCUUCGAACUACUCUGCCUGGCGGAGCAUUGAUGUGGCCCCCAGACUUGGCGACUUCCAUAGCCCUCUCCGAGCCUAGGGUAACACUGCAGGUAGCAGGUAAGUCCAUUUUCUUUCUUUUCGACAUGGGAGCGACCUCUGUUUUAACAUCUCAGUCAGGCCCUACGUUCCCCUCACCAGUUUCAGUCACGGGGGUAGACGGGACCUGCUCCUCCCCACUUAAAACUCUGCCCUUCCAACAGCUCCUGCACUUGCUCUUCCAGACCCCACGAGACCUCACCACCUCUAUACAGAUGAGAGGUCAGAUGUGGCCAGGCGAGUUCUAACCCAACAGGCUGGGCCUUCGAUUCCAGAUGUCGCCUUUUUAUCCAGACAACGGGACCUCACUGUCUGUGGAUGGCAGCCAUGUCUAAGAGCCUGUUGGCAGUAGCAGCUGAACUCGGGAGGCUCUCAAGAUCCCCUUGUCUGGGCCAAUCACAGUAUAUUCCACCCAUCGCCUCUCAGACCUUCUGAGACACUCCUUUCUCUCUCUUUCCUUGAGCCUUCGCAAGUCCAGGUUUUUCACUUACUAUUUCUAGAAAACCCCCAAACUACUUUGGCCUCCAGUCCUGCCCUAAAGCCCCCCCAACUCUCCUUCCUGCUUCUUCCCCCUCGAGUACCUCCUCUCACUCUUGCCCAGAGGCUGUAGAGGCUUUAAACUUACCCUGGCCAGGUCUUCUAGACCAGCCACUUACAGAUCCCCAACUCACCCUGUUUGUUGAUGGAAGCUCCCUUAUAGAUAAAUCAGGAAACCACCAGACAGGUAUGCAGUGGUCAUUUCCACUAACAGUAGAAGUGACCCGCCUGCCAAUGGGAAACUUCUCACAAAAGGCCGAAUUAAUUGCCUUGACUAGGACACUCCAAAUAGCCAAGGGCCAAUGGGCUAAUAUCUAUACUGACUCUAAAUGUGCCUUCUUGAUAGCCCACAUUCAUUCUACAUUCUGGAAGGAAAGUGGCUUCCUUACUACCAAGGGCACUCCCAUAGUUAACAGACCCCUUAUAGCCAACCUCUUGGAGGCCCUUCUGCUCCCCACAGAAGUAGGCAUUAUUCACUGUCAGGGACACCAAUCCUCCUAGGACCCAGUGGCCUUAGGCAAUGCCAAGGCUGACUCAAUGGCCUGGGGACUGGCCUCCAGCUCCUCUUAUUCCUCAGAACAUAUUUUGUUCUCCCUUCCCCGCCCUUCUGUAGCUUUGGAGCCUGUCCUGGAACUCACUCUGCAGAAUAGACUGGCCUCAAACUCACAGAGAUCCACCUGCCUCUGCCUCCCAAGUGCUGGGAUUAAAGGCGUGCGCCACCAAGCCCGACUACGUAUUUUGUACUUAACUCCCUCCUAUCAGCCCUAUUACCAACCAAAAGAGAGGGACAAGCUCAUAAAAAGGAGGGCCACAAAAACAAAGGAUGGAUGGUUCUACUUAAAUAACCGUCCCGUCCUUCCUCAUGACCAGGCAUUGUUGACCAUUUCAGACAUCCACCAGACCUUACACGUAGGCCCCAAAGCUUUGUUCCACUUCUUGGAGCCCCUCUUUGACCCCACCCAUCUCUGAGAUCGUAUUUCACAGGUUCACUCCUCCUGCCAGACAUGUGCCCAGACCAAUCCACAGGGGGCUCUCCACAUACAUCAGUCUCUAUAUCAGCUUUGUGGACACCAACCAGGCGUGGAUUGGUAGGUUGAUUUCACCCACAUGUCUACUCAUAAAAAACUCUGUUAUCUCCUAACACUUGUGGACACUUUUACAGGGUGGAUAGAAGCGUUUCUGGCCUCUAGGGAAACGGCAGAUGUGGUGGCUCAGGUACUCCUGGACCAUAUCAUUCCUCGGUUUGGCAUUCCGCAGGCCAUCCACACAAACAAUGGCCCAGAUUUCACUUCCAGGGUCAUGGAGCUCGUGUCAGAUGCUCUCAACAUCUCCUGGAAAUUCCACAUCCCCUACCACACACAAUCCUCGAGAAAGGUGGAGAGGGCCAAUGGACUCAUCAGCCAACAGCUAAUAAUCUCUCUAUUGAACUCAGGUUAUCUUGGCUCCCCUCUUCUCCCCAUUGCCCUUACUCACCUCAGGGCCACCCCACAUUUCUCUACAGGUCUGAGCCCUUUUGAGCUCCUUUACAGCAGGCCAUUUCUCCUUAACCAUCACCUCCCAGACCAAACUCCUCCUCUGGUGGGGUCCCUACCCUACCUCUCCCUUCUGAGGUCUCUUCUCUGUUCACAUGCUGACAGCUGUCUACCUGCCUCCACACCAGUGGACCCUAAUGCCCCUGAACCUGCCCCGCUCUCUCCAGGGGACAGAGUAUUCCUCAAACAGCUAGUUCCUAGGUCUCUUGAACCUUAAUGGACAGGACCUCACACGGUAAUCCUCACUACCCCCUCAGCUGCCAAGCUCUUGGGACAUCCAUGCUGGUACCAUCUCUUCAGGCUCAAGUGGGUCCCUACUCAGGAUACUUUGUCUGUCCAGCAGUUAGGACCUUCCACACUGUGGUUUUCCAAGAUGCCACAAUGAGGGGCGUAUCAGCUCCUUAUCCUGGCACACUCAUCUUUGUUGAUACAAACAAGAUGAGUAAUAACAAUAUUUUUUUCUUCUAGUCACCUGCCUUCUCAUCUCCCUCAAGGAACAGAUGCCUGGUGUCUCUGGGAUGACAGUAAACAGGAUGCCUUUUCAGCCACACCUCUUGCUGAGUGUGAGCCCACCUCUCUCCCUCCUAAUAUCACCCCUCCCUGACAUCACCCCAUGCCCACAGGAAGUAGCCAGACUUGAGUCAACACCCCUUUAUCCAAAGAGAGCCUAAAAUGUUGGUCAUUAGCAUCACCUCAGCUCCUUGCCACCCCCUUAUACAAAGAGUCUGGAAUAUUAAGUUGGGGGCCUCAUCCCAGCCCCUGGUAUCCAUCUUUGGAAGUCCACCUCCCCAGGGAGGGUCAAGGAAGCCCAUCAAACCUUGACCCCUCCCCAGGAAAGGUCAAGAUCACUCCCACAGGCUAUUUAAACUGCCCCUCAGAGAUUAAAUAUGUGGUCUUCCCUGUUUCUCUUUGGUGGUCAUGUUGGCUUUCCGUUCCCCCUUUGGGCCAUCCGAGAGCGCAGAUGUCCAAUUAAACCUGGAUAUCUUUUAAUUUGGUCUGAUUUGGUCUGAUUGAGAUUAUUUGCAUCAGUGAAGAGGCUUGGCUUUAAGAAAAAUUCCUAACACCCUGGGCUCGGGAACCGGAGAAUCUGCCUGAACAGCGACCUCUAUGCACACCAGUGGCUUUGGUGGUUUUCAUGUUUUCAGCUAUGGUAUAAGCCCUCAAAGUAUCAGCCACCCGCCUGUGAACGCUCUGCCGGUAUCCCGCCGCCUCUGCUUUUCCUCAGACUGUCCCUGCCCCCACUACCGCUGGUCCCACAGAAACAAGCUCAAAAAACAUGGUUUCUCCAUACAACCCGUGGCUGCCACCAUCUUAACUGAGGUCAGGUGACUUCACCACCAUCUGAACUGAGAGCCAGAUAAGGUGACCAAGUCCCGCCGUCUUUACUGAGGUAUUCCCUGCCGGGUUCCCCCCCCACCCCCCCACCCCGUGCUGACUCUGUUACAUGUGUGUUUUGCGCAGUGGCAUGCCUUUGGUAGGGCCUACCAAAGCAUCCAC